GACGGAGGGUGCAAGCGUUGUUCGGAAUCCCUGGGCGUAAAGCGUGUGUAGGCUGCUCUUUAAGUCGGAUGUGAAAGCCCUGGGCUCAACCUAGGAAGUGCAUUCGAAACUCCCGAGCUGGAGUCCUGGAGAGGAAGGCGGAAUUCUCGGUGUAGAGGUGAAAUUCGUAGAUAUCGAGAGGAACACCGGUGGCGAAGGCGGCCUUCUGGACAGUGACUGACGCUGAGACGCGAAAGCGUGGGGAGCAAACAGG
rnacentral:rRNA from 1 species